UACAGAGGUCUCAAGCGUUGUUCGGAUUCAUUGGGCGUAAAGGGUGCGUAGGUGGCGCGGUAAGUCGGGUGUGAAAUUUCGGAGCUUAACUCCGAAACUGCAUUCGAUACUGCCGUGCUUGAGGACUGGAGAGGAGACUGGAAUUUACGGUGUAGCAGUGAAAUGCGUAGAUAUCAUAAGGAAGACCAGUGGCGAAGGCGGGUCUCUGGACAGUUCCUGACACUGAGGCACGAAGGCCAGGGGAGCAAACGGG
rnacentral:rRNA from 1 species